GGAGAAAUGGCAGAGUGGUCGAUUGCGGCAGUCUUGAAAACUGUUGACUGUUACAGGUCCGGGGGUUCGAAUCCCUCUUUCUCCG
rnacentral:tRNA from 1 species